UACGUAGGGUGCGAGCGUUGUCCGGAAUUACUGGGCGUAAAGAGCUCGUAGGUGGUUUGUCGCGUUGUUCGUGAAAACCGGGGGCUUAACCCUCGGCGUGCGGGCGAUACGGGCAGACUGGAGUACUGCAGGGGAGACUGGAAUUCCUGGUGUAGCGGUGGAAUGCGCAGAUAUCAGGAGGAACACCGGUGGCGAAGGCGGGUCUCUGGGCAGUAACUGACGCUGAGGAGCGAAAGCGUGGGGAGCAAACAGG
rnacentral:rRNA from 1 species